rnacentral:rRNA from 1 species
UACAGAGGUCUCAAGCGUUGUUCGGAAUCACUGGGCGUAAAGGGUGCGUAGGCUGCGUGGAAAGUCGGAUGUGAAAUCCGGGGGCUCAACCUCCGAAUUGCAUACGAUACUGCUGCGCUAGAGUUCUCAAGGGGGGUCUGGAAUUCUCGGUGUAGCAGUGAAAUGCGUAGAUAUCGAGAGGAACACUAGUAGCGAAGGCGAGACCCUGGGGAGAUACUGACGCUGAGGCACGAAGGCUAGGGUAGCAAACGGG